GACGAACGCUGGCGGCGUGCCUAACACAUGCAAGUCGAGCGGGGUAGCCGGAAGGUGUAGCGAUACAGCGGAGGGGUACCUAGCGGCGAACGGGUGAGUAACGCGUGGGCAAUCUGCCCCCGGGGGCGGGAUAACAGACCGAAAGGCCUGCUAAUACCGCAUGAAGCCGUCCUAUCGCAUGAUAAGACGGUAAAAGGGGAAACCCGCCUGGGGAGGAGCCCGCGUCCCAUUAGCUAGUUGGUGGUGUAAAGGACCACCAAGGCGAUGAUGGGUAGCCGGCCUGAGAGGGUGAACGGCCACAUUGGGACUGAGACACGGCCCAGACUCCUACGGGGGGCAGCAGUGAGGGAUUUUCGGCAAUGGGCGAAAGCCUGACCGAGCGACGCCGCGUGAGCGAAGAAGGCCUUCGGGUUGUAAAGCUCUGUCUGGAGGGACGAACGAAAUAGACGGUACCUCCGGAGGAAGACCACGGCUAACUACGUGCCAGCAGCCGCGGUAAACCUAGUCUACG
rnacentral:rRNA from 1 species